AUGGAGGGUGCGGAGAGCUGCGGCAAGAGCGUUACGACUGAGGAGGAGGUGGUGAAGCCGGAGUACGAGCAGGGAGAGGUGAUGAUGAUGCAGGAGCAGGGCGGAGGUGCUGCGGCGGCGGCGGCGGAGGAAGCCAUGGCGCCGGCCCAGAUCGACGUGAGGAUGGACGUGGCUCUGCUCCACUGCCAGGCCUGCCUCCUCCCCCUCAAGCCCCCCGUGUUCAAGUGCGAGGCCGCCGGGCACGUGGUGUGCUGCUUCUGCCGCGCCGGCCACGCGGGGCUCUGCAGCCGCGCCAGCGCCCACUGCGGCGAGCUGGACGCCGUCGUCGGCGCCGUCAAGGUGCCCUGCCCCUACAGGGCGUUCGGCUGCGAGCGCUACCUGGUGUACCACGACGCCGCGGACCACCAGCGCGCGUGCCGGUGCGCGCCCUGCUCCUGCCCGGAGCCCGGCUGCGUCUUCGUGGGCUCCCGCGCCAUGCUCCUCGGCCACUUCGCCGCCGGCCACCAGCGCCCCGCCGUCACGGUCCGCUACGGCCGGGCCUGGAACCUGAGCCUCUCCCUGGCGCACCGCUGGCACGCGCUCGUCGGGGACGAGGACCGCAGCGUGUUCCUCGUGUCCCUCGGCCCGCUCGGCGCGGCCACCGCCGUGUCGCUGCUCUGCGUCCGGCCGGACGGCGAGGCCGGGGCGGCGCCCCGGUUCCGGUGCAAGCUCUCCGUGGAGCGCCCGGCGGGCGACGGCAAGGACAACCUGGUCCUCAUGGCCUCGGCGGUGAGCAGCAGCGCGCUGUCCACCGGCGCGCCGGCGCCGGGGCAGGGGAUGUUCUUGCGGUGCCUAAGGAGCUGA
rnacentral:rRNA from 1 species